rnacentral:rRNA from 1 species
AUACGGAGGAUGCGAGCGUUAUCCGGAUUUAUUGGGUUUAAAGGGUGCGUAGGCUGUGCGUUAAGUCAGGGGUGAAAUGCCGUCGCUCAACGACGGAGCUGCCCUUGAUACUGGCGUGCUGGAGUACGGAUGCCGUUGGAGGAAUGAGUGGUGUAGCGGUGAAAUGCUUAGAUAUCACUCAGAACACCGAUUUCGAAGGCAUCUGACGAAUCCGUCACUGACGCUGAGGCACGAAAGCGUGGGGAUAGAACAGGAUUAGAUACCCUGGUAUUCCACGCCGUAAACGAUGAUGACUAACCGUCGGCGAUAGACAGCCGGUGGCCAAGCGAAAGCGAUAAGUCAUCCACCUGGGGAGUACGUCGGCAACGAUGAAACUCAAAUGAAUUGACGGGG